GCUGUGCUGACAUAGAAGCAGGGCCUUCUGGGCAAAGACCGAGCCCAACAGCGGCAAGACCAGCGGCCAAACAAAUCUGAACAGAGCCAGCACCACUGACUUGGUCUGGCAAGGGGCGCAGACCCUCUUGGCUGGAUAAAUCCACAGGCCAGCCUCUCCCAGCCAGCUACCAGCAGGGGAAGGCUUUCUCUGCUCAGCGGCCACUACCAAGCAGGGCAAGUGGAGACAGAGCAGAAACCGUCUCUGCCCUCAAGAUGCUGGCACCUGCAAGGGCCAGGUCGAAGGCAUCCAGGAACCUGCACGAGCAGAGAGGCUGAUUCCUGUGGUCCCAAAAGAGGGAGAAACCAGGAAAAAUCUACACACGUACCGCUUUCCAAAAUGUUGGCCAGGAUCCUUGGAAAACUGCCGCCCAUGAAGGCUUUGGGAGCCAGCGGAGGGGUGUGUCUGUGGGGGUGUUUUUAUUUUAGAUUCUAGGCGUUUUUUUAUUUGUUAUGAUAAGCACAAGCUGGAAAAUAAAUUUCGGAUUUGUCACACGAA